rnacentral:rRNA from 1 species
CGGCCGCUAAUACCGCAUGACAUAUCGAGAUUGCAUGGUCUUGAUAUCAAAGGAGCAAUCCGCUGAAAGAUGGACUCGCGUCCAAUUAGCUAGUUGGUGAGGUAAAGGCCCACCAAGGCGACGAUUGGUAGCCGGACUGAGAGGUUGAACGGCCACAUUGGGACUGAGACACGGCCCAGACUCCUACGGGAGGCAGCAGUGGGGAAUAUUGCACAAUGGGGGGAACCCUGAUGCAGCGACGCCGCGUGAGGGAAGAAGGUUUUCGGAUUGUAAACCUCUGUCCUUGGUGAAGAAGGAAGACGGUAGCCAAGGAGGAAGCCACGGCUAACUAC